AGUGAACGCUGGCGGUAGGCCUAACACAUGCAAGUCGAACGGCAGCACAGGAGAGCUUGCUCUCUGGGUGGCGAGUGGCGGACGGGUGAGGAAUACAUCGGAAUCUACUCUGUCGUGGGGGAUAACGUAGGGAAACUUACGCUAAUACCGCAUACGACCUACGGGUGAAAGCAGGGGAUCUUCGGACCUUGCGCGAUUGAAUGAGCCGAUGUCGGAUUAGCUAGUUGGCGGGGUAAAGGCCCACCAAGGCGACGAUCCGUAGCUGGUCUGAGAGGAUGAUCAGCCAAAGUGGAAGUGAGAGACGGUCCAGACUCCUACGGGAGGCAGCAGUGGGGAAUAUUGGACAAUGGGCGCAAGCCUGAUCCAGCCAUACCGCGUGGGUGAAGAAGGCCUUCGGGUUGUAAAGCCCUUUGUUGGGAAAGAAAUCCAGCUGGUUAAUACCCGGUUGGGAUGACGGUACCCAAAGAAUAAGCACCGGCUAACUUCGUGCCAGCCGCCGCCGUAA
rnacentral:rRNA from 1 species